GGAUUUGAAGCCAGGGAACCAGAAUGCAGGAAAAGCACUGAGGAGACUAUUACAGUAAUCCAGGUCACUUUGGCCUCUACAGCCAUGCCAUUCCACGACUGCUAACACACCGCAGUUUCUCUUCUAUAUGUUGAAGAAUUUGCUGAUGGGAAGGACGAAACCCUGCUCUUCUGAGAAAUGAGAUAUAUAUCAGGAAAAUUGGCUUGAGUCAUUAUAUGAAAGGCUAAAUACCAGACUAAGGAUUUCAGGUUUCAUUGAUGAUGUUGGAGUACUGAAUACUUUCAAUCUGAGCCAGGACUCAUGAAAGCAGGGUGAAUCAUCUCAGAUGUUAACAGUAUUUGUCUCUCUGUAAGGUAACCAGGGAACAACGGUAAGAUGAGCAUGUACUUUUUA